UACGUAGGGGGCUAGCGUUGUCCGGAAUCAUUGGGCGUAAAGCGCGUGUAGGCGGUUCGGUAAGUCCGCUGUGAAAGUCGGGGGCUCAACCCUCGAAUGCCGGUGGAUACUGUCGGACUAGAGUACGGAAGAGGCGAGUGGAAUUCCUGGUGUAGCGGUGAAAUGCGCAGAUAUCAGGAGGAACACCAAUUGCGAAGGCAGCUCGCUGGGACGUUACUGACGCUGAGACGCGAAAGCGUGGGGGAGCAAAACAGG
rnacentral:rRNA from 1 species